rnacentral:lncRNA from 1 species
AGAUCUUCCUGUCAGUACCAUGAACUGUGUGAGGAUGCAUCUGUGAUUAUAAUGAGCGAUUAGAAGACAUAAUCAAAAGUAAAGCAUUGAUCAAACCCAGAAAAGGUGUGUAGAAGGAGAGGACAUUUCUUGUGGAUAUACAGACCCAUCCUUGAUUAAAAUGAUUCAUGUGAAGAGGUUUCAAGGCAUUCCUAUGUCAAAGGUCCGAUGGCAACUGGAGAGAGAGCAGCAGGAAAAAGACAGACAACGAGAACUAGAGGAGAGAAAGAAGGAGAAAGAGGAGCAGUGGCGCGCUCAUGUUGCAGAACUGACCUCCACCCAGGAGAAGACUCUGCAGGACAGACUAACAAGACUCCGCAGGUUCAGGGAGUUCCAAAGAAAGGUGUUGGAAGAAGAGGGAAUGAUAGCUGGACUCACAGUUGACCAACUCCUCACCAGGAUGUAGAUACCGUCUAUGACCAGACCCAUUCUACAUCGGUGCAAAAAAAAAAAAAAAACAUGUUAGCAACAAUAACAAUGGUAGACAACAAUGGCGAUAGAGCUUCAUUUGCGUGCAUUGCUUGUAAAUUGUAUGUUUAAAAAAGCACUGUAUAAAGCAGAGAGCAUAAUGAGAGACACCACAGGGUUAUAUAACAUUGUGGUGUUGCCUGUGUUUACCAAUAUGAAGGAAUUGCCACUUUAGGUUUAAUGCUCGUUUGUGAAAACAUUACAGCGUUGCUAAAGGAACAAAAUAAUACUAGGAUUAUCGCCUCCUCCAUGUUUGUGCAGACUAGAAUAAUACAUUGUAUCAUGUGUAGUUAAAACUAAUAAAAUGUGACUGUAAUUCUCA